rnacentral:lncRNA from 1 species
AAGACCUAAAGAGACCAUGAGACAGUCAACAACACAAAAGCAUGAGAUGCUCUGCAGCAACAGUUCUCCAGGGCUGAGAUCAAGUCCUGUCUCCUCUCUAAUCCAACGCCCGUCAUUCGCACUGACAGAAGUGAACCUUCAGAAUCCAAGAGUCAUUCGCCAGAAAUGUUACAAGAGCAAAGUGUAGGAGUCUCUCACUCUGAAAACAAACAAGAACCUUUCCAGAGAGUUUGAUCAUCUUUUAAGAUUCGGUCCACACCAUCAUCCGCCCAUUUUCAGGAGAAGAAAAGUAAAUAAAGGAGGGAUACUUCAGUAAGUGCCUCGCUCAGCUCUGAGGGAGACUGGCGCUCUGCUCAUUUUCCUCUGCUCAGGUUCCGCCCCACCCACUGAUGAGCUGGGAAGCCUCCUGUCUCAGUUAGGUUCUCCUGGAAGCCAUGAACACGCUGGUGUCUUUGCACGUUCUUUCUCUCCUCCCUGACUCCGUCUAAGCAGAUUGAAAACUUAGUUUCUGAGCCCUGAAGCAAACAGAGAAGAGCAGCCAGCCUCCCGCGGAAGCUCUUCACAGUCUCCCAGGGAUUUCCAGUCAUGGCCAACAUCUUUGUUACAGGACGGAAUCCAGCAACCACUCGCAACCUUAGCAUAAAGCAGUAGCCAAGUCUUACGGGCUAGUUACGAAUAUCAGAUGUGCGGUGACUAUCCACGGGCUUAGAGUGAGUUGGGCAUAUUUAAGUUAUGAAAGAUGUGUUUAUUUCCCCUGGACCCCAAAUAAAUGUCAGCGACAGCUCCAA